rnacentral:rRNA from 1 species
CCUACGGUGCGCAGCAGUGGGGAAUAUUGGUCAAUGGGCGCAAGCCUGACCCAGCAACGCCGCGUGAAGGAAGAAGGCUUUCGGGUUGUAAACUUCUUUUCUGAGGGACGAAGAAAGUGACGGUACCUCAGGAAUACGCCACUGCUAACUACGUGCCAGCACCCUCGGUAAUACGUAGGUGGCAAGCGUUAUCCGGAUUUAUUGGGUUGAAAGGGCUUGUAGGGGGGAAAGCAAGUCAGAUGUGAAAACUCCGGGCUCAACCCGGAGCCUGCAUUUGAAACUGGUUGUCUUGAGUGCUGGAGAGGAAAGCGGAAUUCGGGGUGUAGCGGUGAAAUGCGUAGAUAUACGGAGGAACACCAGUGGCGAAGGCGGAGUGCGGGACAGUAACUGACGCUGAGGCGCGAAAGCGUGGGGAGCAAACAGGAUUAGAUACCCGGGUAGUC